rnacentral:rRNA from 1 species
UGCAAGUCGAACGAGAGCGACCGGUGCUUGCACUGGUCAAUCUAGUGGCGAACGGGUGAGUAACACGUGGGUAACCUGCCCAUCAGAGGGGGAAAACAUUCGGAAACGGAUGCUAAAACCGCAUAGGUCCUUUAACCGCAUAGUUGAAGGAGGAAAAGAGGCGCAAGCUUCUGCUGAUGGAUGGACCCGCGGUGCAUUAGCUAGUUGGUGAGGUAACGGCUCACCAAGGCCGUGAUGCAUAGCCGACCUGAGAGGGUGAUCGGCCACAUUGGGACUGAGACACGGCCCAAACUCCUACGGGAGGCAGCAGUAGGGAAUCUUCCGCAAUGGACGCAAGUCUGACGGAGCAACGCCGCGUGAGUGAAGAAGGUUUUCGGAUCGUAAAACUCUGUUGUUAGAGAAGAACAAGUGCUAGAGUAACUGUUAGCGCCUUGACGGUAUCUAACCAGAAAGCCACGGCUAACUACGUGCCAGCAGCCGCGGUAAUACGUAGGUGGCAAGCGUUGUCCGGAUUUAUUGGGCGUAAAGCGAGCGCAGGCGGUUCCUUAAGUCUGAUGUGAAAGCCCCCGGCUCAACCGGGGAGGGUCAUUGGAAACUGGGGAACUUGAGUGCAGAAGAGGAGAGUGGAAUUCCAUGUGUAGCGGUGAAAUGCGUAGAUAUAUGGAGGAACACCAGUGGCGAAGGCGAC